GGGCCUGUAGCUCAGGUGGUUAGAGCGCACGCCUGAUAAGCGUGAGGUCGGAAGUUCAACUCUUCCCAGGCCCACCA
rnacentral:tRNA from 1 species